rnacentral:rRNA from 1 species
CAGCAGCCGCGGUAAUACGGAGGGUGCAAGCGUUAAUCGGAAUUACUGGGCGUAAAGCGCACGCAGGCGGUCUGACAAGUCAGAUGUGAAAUCCCCAGGCUUAACCUGGGAACUGCAUUUGAAACUGUCAGGCUGGAGUCUUGUAGAGGGGGGUGGAAUUCCAGGUGUAGCGGUGAAAUGCGUAGAGAUCUGGAGGAAUACCGGUGGCGAAGGCGGCCCCCUGGACAAAGACUGACGCUCAGGUGCGAAAGCGUGGGGAGCAAACAGGAUUAGAUACCCGCGUAGUCCCUGUCUCUUAUAC